rnacentral:rRNA from 1 species
CAAUAGCGUAUAUUAAAGUUGUUGCAGUUAAAAAGCUCGUAGUUGGAUUUCGGGACGGGCCAGUUGGUCCGCCGCAAGGUGUGUUACUGACUGGUCUGUUCUUCUUCGCAAAGACUGCGUGUGCUCUUCGUUGAGUGUGCGUAGGAUUUACGACGUUUACUUUGAAAAAAUUGGAGUGUUCAAAGCAGGCUAUCGCUUGAAUACAUGAGCAUGGAAUAAUGGAAUAGGACUUUGGUCCUAUUUUGUUGGUUUCUAGGACCGAAGUAAUGAUUAAGAGGGACAAUUGGGGGCAUCCGUAUUUCGUUGUCAGAGGUGAAAUUCUUGGAUUUACGAAAGACGAACAACUGCGAAAGCACUUGCCAAGAGUGUUUUCAUUAA